UACGUAGGGGGCAAGCGUUAUCCGGAAUUACUGGGCGUAAAGCGCACGCAGGCGGUUCGCCAAGUUUUGGAGUGACAGUUGUCGGCUCAACCGACAAAGGACUUCAAAAACUGGUGAACUUGAGGACGAGAGAGGAACAUGGAACUCCAGGUGUAGUAGUGAAAUGCGUAGAUAUCUGGAAGAACACCAAUGGCGAAGGCAAUGUUCUGGCUCGUUUCUGACGCUCAGGUGCGAAAGCCAGGGGAGCGAACGGG
rnacentral:rRNA from 1 species